GGCUACCGGAACCGACAAGCCGGUGCUCACCGCCGGCGGGACCCAAAAAGUAGGUGUCAAAAAGGCAUUGGUGUUUUAUGGUGGCAAACCACCCAAAGGGGUGAAGACAAAUUGGAUUAUGCAUGAAUAUAGGCUUGCUGAUAAUAAAACAAAUAAUAAGCCCCCUGGUUGUGACCUUGCCAAUAAAAAAUCACUAAGGCUAGAUGAUUGGGUUUUAUGUAGGAUUUACAAGAAGAAUAAUACUCAAAGGCCAAUUGAUCAUGAAAGAGAUGAUUUGAAUAUUGAUAUGAUGAUGGGAUCAUCAUCAAUUCAUCCAUCAUGUAUACCAAAUUCAAUGUCAAUGCCAAAUAUAUUUGGUCAACCAAAAAUACCACAACUAAAAUCUUCAAAUUUUGGCACUACAUUAAUUCAUGAUCAAAAUGACCAAAAUUUAUAUGAAGGUGGAUCACAAUAUUCUUCAAAAAGGCCACUAGCAAAUUUGUAUUGGAAUGAUCAAGAUGGAGGAGCUAGUAACGAUAAUUCUCAAUCAACAAAAAGGUUUUUGACAGAAAAUAUGGAAGAUGGAUUAAAUAUGAAUGCUCGAGCAGAUGAACAAAAUGGAUCUAUCGUAAGUCUUCUCAGUCAACAACAAGUUCUUGGGUCUCUAAGUGAAGGAGUUUUUCGACAACCUUAUUCAGGCAUGAAUUGGUACUCUUAAAAUAUCGAAUUAUAAUAUAAAAAAAAUAUACGAUAUUAUUAUACCAUACAAAUUAAAGGUGUUUGAUUAUUACAGGAUCCUAACUAAUUAAGAUUGAUUAACGAGUGUGUUAAAAUUAGAUUAGUGGGAUUGCUGGAUUUGGGUAUUUGAGAUUUUGUUGGUUUUAAAUUAGAUGAUUUAUAGAUUUAGU
rnacentral:misc_RNA from 1 species